rfam:Echinops telfairi cont1.400227, whole genome shotgun sequence.
AUUUCUCUGGAGGGUACGAUAUAGUCUAAUUUUCUUCAUUAUUCAAUUUGGAUCCUGUUAAGUGAGACGGGCAUUCACUGACAAGAAGCGCAUUUCAAUUUUGGCAAAUAAUUUCAUUAGUAUUCACAAAGUUUGGUAUCCCUUAUAUUUAAUAAACCUUUCCAUUGCAGAGUAAAAAAU